GGUUUAAGGUGGGCAAAGGGAGUGCCUUGGGUUUAAGCCUCAAAUACAAGAUGAAUGUCUUUCCUAAAA
rnacentral:tRNA from 1 species